rnacentral:lncRNA from 1 species
AAAAAGUGAAUUUAUUAGAUAUUUCUAUUUUGGAGAUUUGAAUUUAGAUCCAUCAAAAUGCAGAGUAAUUUUGGAAAUAUUAAUUUACACCACCACUAGAAAUGCUCUCAAUAAACAAAUAUGGAAUUUUUCUAAUUCGAACGGUACGAUCCACACUUGAAAACCACAAAUCAUUUGUGCCCAUACAAGCACAACAAAUGUAUCAACACCAUAUGUACUCGGUGGAGAAAGGUGUUGAUUAGUGAAUUCUGCANNNN